rnacentral:rRNA from 1 species
UACGGGGGGGGCAAGCGUUAUCCGGAUUUACUGGGCGUAAAGCGCGUUCAGGCGGUUUGGCAAGUCGGGCAUGAAAUCUCUCGGCUCAACCGGGAGAGGUUGUCCGAUACUUCCAGACUUGAGGGCAGUAGAGGGUGGUGGAAUUCCGGGUGUAGUGGUGAAAUGCGUAGAUAUCCGGAGGAACACCAGUGGCGAAAGCGGCCACCUGGACUGGACCCGGCGCUGACACGCCAAAGCUAGGGGAGCGAACGGG